GGGCGAGUAUAGCAUAAUUGGUAUUGCACCAGACUUUUAAUCUGGCGACUUCGGUCAACUGUCGGUUCAAGUCCGAUCUCGCUCUCCA
rnacentral:tRNA from 1 species